rnacentral:rRNA from 1 species
CCUACGGGAGGCAGCAGUGGGGAAUAUUGCACAAUGGGGGAAACCCUGAUGCAGCGACGCCGCGUGAGUGAAGACGUAAUUCGUUAUGUAAAGCUCUAUCAGCAGGGAAGAAAAUGACGGUACCUGAGUAAGAAGCCCCGGCUAACUACGUGCCAGCAGCCGCGGUAAUACGUAGGGGGCAAGCGUUAUCCGGGUUUACUGGGUGUAAAGGGAGCGUAGACGGCAGUGCAAGUCUGGCGUGAAAGGCGGGGGCUCAACCCCCGGACUGCUCUUGAAACUGUACGGCUGGAGUGCGGGAGAGGUAUGUGGAAUGCCUGGUGUAGCGGUGAAAUGCGUAGAUAUUAGGAGGAACUCCAGUGGCGAAGGCAGCUUACUGGAGUGUAACUGACGCUGAGGCUCGAAAGCGUGGGUAGCGAACAGGAUUAGAUACCCUUGUAGUC